AAGCCUGAUCAGCCAUGCCGCGUGCAGUGAUGAAGGCCUUCGGGGUUGUAAACUGUUUUUGCCGGGGGAAAAAACGCCCGGGCUGGGGGAAUUGGAGGAACCUGCCGAAUAAGCCACGGCGAACUCCGUGCCAGCAACCGCGGUAGUACAAACGUUGCAAGCGUUGUCCGGAUUUAUUGGGUUUAAAGGGUGCGUAGGCGGCCUUAUAAGUCAAUGCUGAAAUCUUCCCGCUUAACCGAUCCGGUGGCAUUGAUACUGGGUUCUGGAGGGAAAAAUGAAAUAGGCGGAAUUGACGGUAAAUGCGGUGAAAUGCUGAGGAUCGUCAAGAACACCUAUGGCUUAGGCGACUUACUAGGCUGUAACUGACGCUGAGGCACGAAAGUGUGGGGAUUAACAGGAUUAGAUACCCUGGUAGUCCACACUGUAAACGAUGAUUACUCGCUAUUGGCGAUAUUCAGUACGCGGCUAAGCGAAAGCGCUAAGUAAUCCACCUGGGGAGUACGCCGGCAACGGCUAAAUGAAUGG
rnacentral:rRNA from 1 species